rnacentral:rRNA from 1 species
GUGUCAGCCGCCGCGGUAAUACGAAGGGGGCUAGCGUUGCUCGGAAUCACUGGGCGUAAAGGGUGCGUAGGCGGGAUCUUAAGUCAGAGGUGAAAGCCUGGAGCUCAACUCCAGAACUGCCUUUGAUACUGGGAUUCUUGAGUUCGGAAGAGGUGAGUGGAACUGCGAGUGUAGAGGUGAAAUUCGUAGAUAUUCGCAAGAACACCAGUGGCGAAGGCGGCUCACUGGUCCGAUACUGACGCUGAGGCACGAAAGCGUGGGGAGCAAACAGGAUUAGAAACCCCCGUAGUCC